GCAGAAAGGGUGGAAUGGCGACGGAGUAUAUGGAUCGAGUGGGUCGAAACUGAUCCUACAACUGAAGAAAUGACCUCCCAACAUCUACACUUUCAUUCCCUCUCAGAAUUUGUGUUUCAAUGGCAUCAGAAGUCAUUCUUAAAAGUGGGACAAAAAAGGGCUUGCAGCCAGUCGUCAUGGCACCUUGGUACCAAUGAUACAACUAGAAUGAGAGCUGAGGUCUUGCACAGGAAUUGAGGAACUAAGAAGGAAAUUAAAGUGCAGGACCUUAAGGAUAAUCAUCUCAGUAUUACUCUGAAUGACGUGCUUGUCAGAGAAGGCAAAAAAUGGUAUUUGAACGUAGAGACAUCCCAUGAUAGAGAUCGAGGUUUGAAACAGUCAACCCGACGGUGACAGCAUACAGUUCACGGCUUGAGUUUGGGAGUCACUCCCGAGAGUCCGAUUCACUAUUUCGUAUAAUCAUGCCUAAAAUGUAAUUUAGCUUUGUGUCAGCCUAUGUCCCAUAGGUUUGAGUAAUAAACAUCUUCCA